rnacentral:tRNA from 1 species
ACAUCGGUAGCACAGUGGUUAGUGCAGUCUGCCGGAAACAGAGAGUCGCGGGUUCAAUUCCUGUCCGAUGUC